rnacentral:rRNA from 1 species
CUGAGAUGUACGAGGCUAUCCGCUGAAUUUAAGCAUAUAACUAAGCGGCAGACAAG